AAAAACAAAAAAAAAAAAAAAAUGAAUAAAGGAAUAAGACAUCCACUGAAAUUUGAAGUUGCAAAAAGAAUACAGCAGCACUUUGAAACUAAAGAGUCAUACUUUUUUUGGCCUUUAAUAUAGAAAUAUAUAACCAACUAUUUAUUGCUCAAAUAGAUGACUUCAAACAGUUUGUUGGAUUGCCAGAUUACUGAUGAAGGGAGACUCAAGUUAAGAUAAUAGAAGCAGGAUCCCAACCAAACUGAAUUGUUCUCAGUUCUAUUUAUUUAAUCAGGUUAAAACCUAUUUACCAAUCUGGACAAGUUAUUAUUACUUCUGGUUAGAAAAGGAACAAUAUUACUUCUGGUUAGAAAAGGAACAAACUGACAAGACAAAUGGACUUAUUAAAACCCAGAAAUCCUACACUCUUUUAAAUGGUUGUUAAGCUUAGCAACAGCCCAUCAAUCACCAAAUCUUCUUUUAAUCUGUUAUAAAGACUGAAAAUGGGUAGUCACUCCUAGAAAACUCAUCCAUUUACGUUAUUUGAUCUCCUUGUAACUUGGGGAGGCUAGCGGGAAAAGGGGGUUAAGGACUGUCCACCAGAGAUACAAGUGACUUAUUUCCUAUGGAAUUACCCUUGUAGCUUUUAUUCUUCCAGGUAAUGACCACCAUAUGAAAACUCCCGAUUAAUAGACAAAAUAUGAUUGAAGAGCAAAGAGUUUUACAAAAAUAAAACAUUACAGUAGGGAUGGCAGUGACAACACAAGUAAUAGCAGCAGCCUUGGUUCCGGCACGAACACCUUCUUGAGUGCAACGUUUAGAUUCCAAAAUCCUCUGAUCCUCAGCUGGAGAAGGUAUCACAAAGGAAGUAUUAUACUUUUUGCUCCUCAGCGUCUGAGCCAAGUAAUCUCUAAUUUCUGAUGGGAUCCCCAUUAGUCUGUUCUCCCUAAUUUCAAUCUCCUUCUUCAAAACUAAAAAGAUUUUAAGCUUCUUCAAAAUCAAAACGCGAAAACGGAACUGAUGUCCGAGAUUUGAUAAAGAAAGAGUCCAGUCGUGAUUGUGCGUCUGCGCGGCGAACUGGAUCAAAUUGGCCCUUC
rnacentral:misc_RNA from 1 species